rnacentral:rRNA from 1 species
UACAGAGGGGGCAAGCGUUAUUCGGAAUUAUUGGGCGUAAAGGGCGCGUAGGCGGCCUGGCAAGUGGAAGGUGAAAUCCCUCGGCUUAACCGAGGAACUGCCUCCCAAACUGCUUGGCUUGAGACCAGGAGAGGUGAGUGGAAUUCCCCAGUGUAGCGGUGAAAUGCGUAGAUAUUGGGGAGGAACACCAGUGGCGAAGGCGGCUCACUGGACCGGUACUGACGCUGAGGUGCGAAAGCGUGGGGAGCAAACGGG